rnacentral:rRNA from 1 species
UAGUCCACGCUGUAAACGAUGUCUGCUAGCCGUUGGAAUCCUUAGAGAUUUUAGUGGCGCAGCUAACGCGAUAAGCAGACCGCCUGGGGAGUACGGCCGCAAGGUUAAAACUCAAAUGAAUUGACGGGGGCCCGCACAAGCGGUGGAGCAUGUGGUUUAAUUCGAAGCAACGCGAAGAACCUUACCAGGACUUGACAUCCAGAGGACUUUCCAGAGAUGGAUUGGUGCCUUCGGGAACUCUGUGACAGGUGCUGCAUGGCUGUCGUCAGCUCGUGUUGUGAAAUGUUGGGUUAAGUCCCGUAACGAGCGCAACCCUUAUCCUUAUUUGCCAGCACUUCGGGUGGGAACUCUAGGGAGACUGCCGGUGACAAACCGGGAGGAAGGUGGGGACGACGUCAAGUCAUCAUGGCCCUUACGUCCUGGGGCUACACACGUGCUACAAUGGCCGGUACAGAGGGGCAGCGAAGUCGCGAGGGCGGGAGCAAAUCU